rnacentral:rRNA from 1 species
GACGAACGCUGGCGGCGUGCUUUACACAUGCAAGUCGAACGGUGAAGGUGGAGCUUGCUCCGCCGGAUCAGUGGCGAACGGGUGAGUAACACGUGGGCAACCUGCCCCUAACUUUGGGAUAACUACUCGAAAGAGUAGCUAAUACCGGAUAUGAAGUCUGUAGGCAUCUAUGGAUUUGGAAAGUUUUUCGGUUAGGGAUGGGCCCGCGGCCUAUCAGCUUGUUGGUGAGGUAGGGGCUCACCAAGGCGACGACGGGUAGCCGGCCUGAGAGGGCGACCGGCCACACUGGGACUGAGACGCGGCCCAGACUCCUACGGGAGGCAGCAGUGGGGAAUAUUGCGCAAUGGGCGAAAGCCUGACGCAGCAACGCCGCGUGCGGGAUGAAGGCCUUCGGGUUGUAAACCGCUUUCAGCAGGGAAGAAGCGAAAGUGACGGUACCUGCAGAAGAAGCACCGGCUAACUACGUGCCAGCAGCCGCGGUAA